rnacentral:rRNA from 1 species
UACGAAGGGGGCUAGCGUUGCUCGGAAUCACUGGGCGUAAAGCGCACGUAGGCGGCUUAUUAAGUCAGGGGUGAAAUCCUGGAGCUUAACUCCAGAACUGCCUUUGAUACUGAUGAGCUUGAGUCCGGGAGAGGUGAGUGGAACUGCGAGUGUAGAGGUGAAAUUCGUAGAUAUUCGCAAGAACACCGGUGGCGAAGGCGGCUCUCUGGACCGAUACUGACGCUGAGGCGCGAAAGCGUGGGGAGCAAACAGG